UGCUCUAUUGUAAGGUACUGAAAGGGUGGAUUUGCGGAUGAGAAAUUCAAAUUGAACUUCAUGUUCAGAUCUGAUCGUUACUUGAUCCGUGCCGCUCUGAAUAUCAUUGGCCUUUUCAUCUGGAAGGAAAGAGACAGGGAUCCAGUGGCUGUAUGAGGACUGCAACUCCCAAAUUCCGAGGCAGGGACCACACGUCUGUGGGGAAACCUGGCAGUGCACAAUUACAGAAUGUGGGGUGCUAGAUGGUGAAGAUUUGCAGACUGAAAUCUCAAAAUCAUAUGCAGAUUGUGAUUAAGUUAAACAACAUUUGAAGAACCAAAGAUAGAGAAUCACUCGGCCAAAAUCCUGCAACACUCUACCUCCCAGCAUUUUCGGUCUAUCUG